UACGUAGGGGGCAAGCGUUGUCCGGAAUUAUUGGGCGUAAAGAGCGCGUAGGCGGUCCGAUAAGUCGGCUGUGAAAGUCAAGGGCUCAACCCUUGAAAGCCGGCCGAUACUGUCGGACUAGAGUCCGGAAGAGGCGAGUGGAAUUCCCGGUGUAGCGGUGAAAUGCGCAGAUAUCGGGAGGAACACCAAUGGCGAAGGCAGCUCGCUGGGAUGGUACUGACGCUGAGACGCGAAAGCGUGGGUAGCAAACAGG
rnacentral:rRNA from 1 species